CGGUUAACGGAGCGAAAGCGACGUUCAACCGCAAAAGAAGCAGAGGGGGUUUAGUGGUGGGGUGACUGCGUACCUUUUGUAUAAUGGGUCAGCGACUUAUAUUCUGUAGCAAGGUUAACCGAAUAGGGGAGCCGCAGGGAAACCGAGUCUUAAUUGGGCGUUAAGUUGCAGGGUAUAGACCCGAAACCCGGUGAUCUAGCCAUGGGCAGGUUGAAGGUUGGGUAACACUAACUGGAGGACCGAACCGACUAAUGUUGAAAAAUUAGCGGAUGACCUGUGGCUGGGGGUGAAAGGCCAAUCAAACCGGGAGAUAGCUGGUUCUCCCCGAAAGCUAUUUAGGUAGCGCCUCGUGAACUCAUCUCCGGGGGUAGAGCACUGUUUCGGCCAGGGGGCCAUCCCGGCUUACCAACCCGAUGCAAACUGCGAAUACCGGAGAAUGUUAUCACGGGAGACACACGGCGGGUGCUAACGUCCGUCGUGAAGAGGGAAACAACCCAGACCGCCAGCUAAGGUCCCAAAGUCAUGGUUAAGUGGGAAACGAUGUGGGAAGGCCCAGACAGCCAGGAUGUUGGCUUAGAAGCAGCCAUCAUUUAAAGAAAGCGUAAUAGCUCACUGGUCGAGUCGGCCUGCGCGGAAGAUGUAACGGGGCUAAACCAUGCACCGAAGCUGCGGCAGCGACACUGUGUGUCGUUGGGUAGGGGAGCGUUCUGUAAGCCUGCGAAGGUGGCCUGUGAGGGUUGCUGGAGGUAUCAGAAGUGCGAAUGCUGACAUAAGUAACGAUAAAGCGGGUGAAAAGCCCGCUCGCCGGAAGACCAAGGGUUCCUGUCCAACGUUAAUCGGGGCAGGGUGAGUCGACCCCUAAGGCGAGGCCGAAAGGCGUAGUCGAUGGGAAACGGGUUAAUAUUCCCGUACCUGGUGUUACUGCGAAGGGGGGACGGAGAAGGCUAUGUUGGCCGGGCGACGGUUGUCCCGGUUUAAGCGUGUAGGCUGGUUUUCCAGGCAAAUCCGGAAAAUCAAGGCUGAGGCGUGAUGACGAGGCACUACGGUGCUGAAGCAACAAAUGCCCUGCUUCCAGGAAAAGCCUCUAAGCCUCAGGUAACAUCAGAUCGUACCCGAAACCGACACAGGUGGUCAGGUAGAGAAUACCAAGGCGCUUGAGAGAACCCGGGUGAAGGAACUAGGCAAAAUGGUGCCGUAACUUCGGGAGAAGGCACGCUGACAUGUAGGUGAAGCGG
rnacentral:rRNA from 1 species